AAUGGAGGAAACUCUGAUGCAGCGACGCCGCGUGAGUGAUGAAGCCCUUCGGGGUGUAAAGCUCUUUCGACAGGAACGAUAAUGACGGUACCUGAAGAAGAAGCUGCGGCUAACUACGUGCCAGCAGCCGCGGUAAUACGUAGGCAGCAAGCGUUGUUCGGAAUUACUGGGCGUAAAGAGUGUGUAGGCGGUGCUCUAAGUUUGGUGUGAAAUCUCCCGGCUUAACCGGGAGGCUGCAUUGAAUACUGGAGUGCUAGAGGGUGGGAGAGGUAAGCGGAAUUCCUGGUGUAGCGGUGAAAUGCGUAGAUAUCAGGAGGAACACCUGUGGUGUAGACAGCUUACUGGACCACUUCUGACGCUGAGACACGAAAGCGUGGGUAGCAAA
rnacentral:rRNA from 1 species